rnacentral:rRNA from 1 species
UACGGGGGGGGCAAGCGUUGUUCGGAAUUACUGGGCGUAAAGCGCACGUAGGCGGCUUUGUAAGUUAGGGGUGAAAGCCCGGAGCUCAACUCCGGAAUUGCCUUUAAGACUGCAUCGCUUGAAUCCGGGAGAGGUGAGUGGAAUUCCGAGUGUAGAGGUGAAAUUCGUAGAUAUUCGGAAGAACACCAGUGGCGAAGGCGGCUCACUGGACCGGUAUUGACGCUGAGGUGCGAAAGCGUGGGGAGCAAACAGG